rnacentral:rRNA from 1 species
AUUGAACGCUGGCGGCAUGCCUUACACAUGCAAGUCGAACGGCAGCGCGGGCUUCGGCCUGGCGGCGAGUGGCGAACGGGUGAGUAAUACAUCGGAACGUGCCCUAGAGUGGGGGAUAACUAGUCGAAAGAUUAGCUAAUACCGCAUACGAUCUCAGGAUGAAAGUGGGGGACCGCAAGGCCUCAUGCUCCUGGAGCGGCCGAUGUCUGAUUAGCUUGUUGGGGGGGUAACGGCCCACCAAGGCGACGAUCAGUAGCUGGUCUGAGAGGACGACCAGCCACACUAGGACUGGGACACGGCCCAGACUCCUGCGGGAGGCAGCAGUGGGGAAUUUUGGACGAUGGGGGAAACCCUGAUCCAGCAAUGCCGCGUGUGUGAAGAAGGCCUUCGGGUUGUAAAGCACUUUUGUCAGGAACGAAACGGUGGGGGCUAAUACCUUCUGCUAAUGACGGUACCUGAAGAAUAAGCACCGGCUAACUACGUGCCAGCCGCCGCCGUAA